rnacentral:rRNA from 1 species
UACGGAGGGUGCGAGCGUUGUCCGGAAUCAUUGGGCGUAAAGGACGCGUAGGUGGCCCGGUCAGUCUUUGGUGAAAGCGCGGGGCUCAACCCUGCGUCGGCCAGGGAUACUGCCGCGGCUCGAGCACUGUAGAGGCAGGCGGAAUUCCGGGUGUAGCGGUGGAAUGCGUAGAGAUCCGGAAGAACACCGGUGGCGAAGGCGGCCUGCUGGGCAGUUUAGCUGACACUGAGGCGCGACAGCGUGGGGAGCAAACAGG